rnacentral:rRNA from 1 species
AUGGCGGAGGGCGCCCCUGACGAUGAGACGCUCGAGCUCACGCCCACAUGGAUCCUUGCGAUCGUCUGUGCCCUGAUGGUGGUCAUCUCCAUGGCCGCGGAACGCGGCCUGCACUACCUUGGCAAGAAGUUGAAGCGCAAUAACCAGAAACAGCUGUACGAGGCCGUCCUCAAGGUCAAAGAAGAGCUGAUGCUUCUCGGCUUCAUCUCCCUGCUGCUGACGGUGUGUCAAGGGAUGAUCGAGGAGAUCUGCAUUCCUCCUGACUGGAGAAUGCAUAUGCUGCCAUGCAAAAGACAGGAGGUGGCGCCCGCAAAGGAGCAUUUAGUUGCAACCCAGAUCAUUGGCAGAAUCGGGAGGCGGCUACUCAGCAAGGAUGCAACGGGAGCCGAGACCUGCAGGCAGAAGGGAAAAAUUCAUCUGAUGUCCCUUGAAUCUGUGCAUCAGUUGCAUGAGUUCAUAUUUGUGCUGGCUAUUACACAUGUCGUAUUCAGUGCUUUGACAAUACUUUUAGGAGGUGCAAAGAUGCAUCAAUGGAAACAGUGGGAGGAGGAUGCUAUUCAGAAAGAUACUGCAGGAAACGGGCCCAAGAAGGUGACCCUUGUACAGAAUUCCGAAUUUGUCAAGGAAAAUUUUAAGGGUAAUGACAAAUAUUCUAGAGUAUUGAGUUGGCUGCAUUGUUUUUUCAAGCAAUUCUACAGAUCAGUAAGUAAAACUGAUUACAGGACAAUGCGUCUUGGUUUUAUCAUGGCCCACUGCCCUGGGAACCUGAAAUUUGAUUUCAAUGAAUACAUGUUGCGGGUUUUGGAGUCUGAUUUUAAGGUGGUGGUUGGCAUAAGCUGGUACUUGUGGGUUUUCGUGGUGAUAUUUCUGUUGCUGAAUAUAAACGGCUGGAACACAUACUUUUGGAUUGCAUUCCUUCCCCUUAUUCUUCUGUUGGCUGCUGGGACUAAAUUAGAGCACGUCAUAGCUCAGUUAGCCCGGGAUGUCGCUGAGAAGCACUCCGCUCUCGAGGGUGAUUUGAUUGUAAAGCCAUCAGAUGACCACUUCUGGUUUGGGCGGCCGAGGAUUGUCUUAUUCCUGAUCCACUUUAUCCUCUUCCAGAACGCCUUCGAGAUUGCAUUUUUCUUCUGGAUACUGACCACUUAUGGAUUCAACUCGUGCAUCAUGGGGCAUGUAGGUUUUAUUGUGCCGAGGCUUGUUAUUGGGGUCAUUAUUCAGCUUCUCUGCAGCUACUGCACUCUGCCUCUGUAUGCAGUUGUAACACAGAUGGGAAGCUUCUACAAGAAGGAGAUCUUUAAUAAGCAUGUCCAGCAGGGUGUUCUGUCUUGGGCUCAGAAGGCUAAGAUGAAGAAGGCAUUGGAGAAGAGCAAUGGCACAGCAGAAUCAACGAGCACUGUUGAUUCAGCAGGGCCUUCUACUAAGAUUGAAAUGAUGAAACCAGCAACGCGGGAAGGCAAUGAUGAUUCAGCAGGGCCUUCUACUAAGAUUGAAAUGAUGAAACCAGCAACGCGGGAAGGCAAUGAUGAUUCAGCAGGGCCUUCUACUAAGAUUGAAAUGAUGAAACCAGCAACGCGGGAAGGCAAUGAUGACGGUGAAAUCAUAGAAUGGAGCCGUGUUGUCUAG